CCUACGGGGGGCAGCAGUGAGGAAUAUUGGUCAAUGGGCGGAAGCCUGAACCAGCCAAGUCGCGUGAGGGAUUAAGGCCCUGCGGGUCGUAAACCUCUUUUGCCGGGGAGCAGUGGUCCGGACGCGUCCGGACCGGGAGAGUACCCGGAGAAAAAGCAUCGGCUAACUCCGUGCCAGCAGCCGCGGUAAUACGGAGGAUGGGAGCGUUAUCCGGAUUUAUUGGGUUUAAAGGGAGCGUGGAUGGGUUGUUAAGUCAGUUGUGAAAGUGUGCGGCUCAACCGUAAAAUUGCAAUUGAUACUGGCAGUCUUGAGUACAGUUGAGGUAGGCGGAAUUCGUGGUGUAGCGGUGAAAUGCUUAGAUAUCACGAAGAACUCCGAUUGCGAAGGCAGCUUACUAAACUGCCACUGACAUUGAUGCUCGAAAGUGUGGGUAGCAAACAGGAUUAGAUACCCUAGUAGUC
rnacentral:rRNA from 1 species